ensembl:snRNA U6 U6 spliceosomal RNA
GUGUUCUUCGGCUGCACACAUACUAAAAUUGGAAUGAUACAGGGAAGCUGAGCAUGGCCUCUGCACAAGGAUGAAACACAAAUUCCUAAAGCGUCCCAUACUUUU